GCCUUCUUGUUCAAGCACCGUGCUAAAACUUCAGAGGCUAGGCUGGCCUUGGCCUCUGUGGUAGUGCUAGCAGGGUACACACAAGAAGAAGAGUGAAAAGCACUGGAUCGGAAAAAGACUCGGGUGGACCUCUUUCUUAAUGUCCAGUGUCCUGGUCUGAAGACUUGGUGCAACAGUU